rnacentral:rRNA from 1 species
CCUACGGGAGGCAGCAGUGGGGGAUUUUGCACAAUGGGGGGAACCCUGAUGCAGCGACGCCGCGUGGGUGAAGGAGUGCUUCGGCAUGUAAAGCCCUAUCGGCAGGGAAGAAGCAAGACGGUACCUGACUAAUAAGCCCCGGCUAACUACGUGCCAGCAGCCGCGGUAAUACGUAGGGGGCGAACGGUAGCCGGAUGCACUGGGGGGAAAGGGAGCGUAGAUGGGCAGGCAAGCCAGGAGUGCAAGCCCGGGGCCCAACCCCGGGAUAGCCCUGGGAACUUCAUUGCUGGAGUGCGGGAGGGGCAGGCGGAAGUCCAGGUGUAGCGGUGAAAUGCGUAGAUAUCAGGAGGAACACCGGCGGCGAAGGCGGCCUGCUGGACCGCGACUGACGUUGAGGCUCGAAAGCGUGGGGAGCGAACAGGAUUAGAUACCCGGGUAGUC